AUGAAAGAAAUCACCAACGAUUUGUGCCCUGUCCUUAGCAUACAACAGCUAGCUCGAACCAGUACAAUGUAUUGGGAUGACAAAUAUGGCACCCACACUGUUUCAUCAGAGGUCAUCUCAAGUAUGAGAAUAAUGAUGACAGAAGACUCGAACAAUGCAGUGAGCAGUUCUUUCUUGUUGGAUGAUGAUUCAAGCAUUCCAUUUUCGGUGGAUGACAUCUCAAAGUCAAUGACAGAAAUCGAGGUAACGGACGUUGAUAUGCCACCUUUGAUCCGGGAGAAUUCUGGGUUUAGCUUCCUACACCAAAGAAAGGACUAA
rnacentral:rRNA from 1 species